AGGGCUACACAAGUUAUUUCAGCUAAAAGACAUCGGUGGAUUUAAAUAACAGCUCAGACAAAUGCCUCGAUUGUAAUCAACACUAGCCAUAUGGCUAAUGCAAUUGAUACAAGAUAACUGGCAAACCCUUCGAUAAGCCCGCUAUUAUAUCAAAUUCAUGCUCGUCAUCUGAUUUAUCAUCAUUACCAG
rnacentral:snRNA from 1 species